rnacentral:rRNA from 1 species
CAUUGUAGCAAUACAAGGCAGACGGCUCAUUAACGCGUAGUCAACCUGCCCUAUGGACGGGAAUAACCUCGGGAAACUGAGUAUAAUGCCCGAUAGAACACUAUACCUGGAAUGGUUUGUGUUCCAAAUGAUUUAUCGCCAUAGGAUGGGACUGCGGCCUAUCAGUUUGUUGGUGAGGUAAUGGCCCACCAAGACUAUUACAGGUACGGGCUCUGAGAGGAGUGGCCCGGAGAUGGGUACUGAGACACGGACCCAGGCCCUAUGGGGCGCAGCAGGCGAGAAAACUUUGCAAUGUGCGAAAGCACGACAAGGUUAAUCCGAGUGGUUUCUGCUAAAGGAACCUUUUGUUAGUCAUAGAACCACUAAUGAAUAAGGGGUGGGCAAGUUCUGGUGUCAGCCGCCGCGGUAAAACCAGCACCUCAAGUGGUCAGGAUGAUUAUUGGGCCUAAAGCAUCCGUAGCCGGCUCUGUAAGCUUUCGGUUAAAUCUGUACGCUUAACGUACAGGCUGCCGGGAAUACUGCAGAGCUAGGGAGUGGGAGAGGUAGACGGUACUCGGUAGGAAGGGGUAAAAUCCUUUGAUCUAUUGAUGACCACCUGUGGCGAAGGCGGUCUACCAGAACACGUCCGACGGUGAGGGAUGAAAGCUGGGGGAGCAAACCGGAUUAGAUACCCGGGUAGUCCCAGCUGUAAACUAUGCAAACUCAGUGAUGCAUUGACUUGUGGUCAAUGCAGUGCUGCAGGGAAGCCGUUAAGUUUGCCGCCUGGGAAGUACGUACGCAAGUAUGAAACUUAAAGGAAU